AGAUCUCUCUCUCUGCGGAAGCCAGCCACCGCUCUCCAAGGACUCUCGAGCAGCUCCAUCUACAGAUUCACAUGGAGAAGAAUUAAGGGUUCCUGCCAAUCACCAGCACCACUUUGCCAGCCUUGUAAGUGGGCCACCUUGGAAUUGGAGCCUCCAGUUCCUACUGACAUCUGACUGCAACAUCAUGAGAGACCCUGAGUUUGAACCACCCAGCUGAGCUGCUUCUGAGCUAACCCACUGAAACCGUGAAAGUACCUGAAUGAAACAACACCCAGUAGCCACUAGCACACCUAGCUCCCAGAUCUGUUUUUGAUGCCAUUCUUCAGUAAAAGGAAGCAAGGCUGCUUGGAGAAAUUGCUAUCAAGGACUGGGGUAGAAAAUAUACAAGAUGAAAUUGGAGCAUCUUGUAGUGCUUGAAAACAGUUGGCAUCUGUGUGAAGAUGUGAAUGGAGGAGGCAGAGUAGGCAGUGAGUGCCGCAGCCACAGCUUGUGUUCUCUGCAGCCCUGGCACAGAAGAUAGGAACACUCAUGGGGGAUGCGGCCACUGUGAUGUCUUCCCACACAAGAAGUGCCAAGUGCUUUUCUCAUGCUUUUCUGGAUUGUCCCAUGGUGGACGAGUCAGCAGGAGUGAGAUGGAGCAGCACAGUAGAGGGGUACCUGGCAAGGCCCGGAGGGAGGACCCCCUGCCCCAAACAUUUCAAUGAUAUCAGGUGACAGCCGUGAUCCUCUUAGCACCUGCUCUGUUUUGUCCCAGGCCAGGAUAUCGUUGUACAUAUUCUCAGCUAAGUGAGCACCAAUAGAGGAGAGGGAGAGUCUCAUGGAAGUUCCUUCUAAGCCUUUGGCUCUUUUUACCUUCAACAAGGUGUGCCACCUCUUUGAUCCAGCAAGUGGGAAGAACAGUCCCGGCCUCUUUGCACACAAGACCGUGAUACCAAUGCACCAUCACAGGCCCCACAGGGGAGCUGUCCGCUUCCCCACACAGCUGCUAGGGGCUCUUUUGCAUGUUCCCAACCUUUCCUGCCUUUAUCUGAUAUUCGUUCCUUAGAUCCUGGGAUGAGGAGGUGGACCAGCAGAAGGUGGGCUUGUGAAGGCAGCCCGGGGUCCAAAUCCUCCUGGCUCUUCAGCUUAGCGGGUUAGUUAACAUUCAGAAGCCUUCAUCUCCCAUCUGCAAAAUGGGCAUGUCCAACUCAGAAGCUGCCUUGAAGAAAGGGUCUACCCAGCAUGGUGCGUGGAGCCUAAGCAGUCAGUACUUCAGGACUUCACCCGGCCCCUUUCCAAUAACUGCUGCUGUCGCCCUCACAGGAUGUCACCUUCAGCGUCUGAAAGCUGGGUUUGAUGCGUCUGGAAAGGCGUCCCUGACAGGCGUCGUUGCCAGGAGCCCCUAGUGCCACCAGCAGCCAGCAGGGGAGGGCGUCCUCUGCCCGCUCACUUCUGACCCUUCUCUCGUUGCACCCGGAACAUGGUGCAGCUGGGAGCAGCCUGGGCUGCGCGGAAGGCUCAGAUUUGGGGACGGCCCUUGCCAGUGACUGUGAGCUGGGGUGUCUUGGAAACUCCCAGUCUCAGCUUCUCCAUUUAUAAGAUGAGAAUGAUCAUACCAGACUCAGGCAAGGUUGUUUGUGCAUUAGUGAAAUCAGACGUAUUAAAUAAAGUACCACAUUGAUCGUGGAGUUGUUGAAUAACCAAGAACACGCCUAUCUGUCUCCAAAAAAUAAAUGUUGAAAAUGA
rnacentral:lncRNA from 1 species